GGCAGCAGGCAGAGGAGCAGGGGAUGGGUGGACAAAUUAGGAUCCAGAGAGUGGCCGGGCCCACAGAGCAGAGGGCCACGGACAUCAGGUCUGUUCUCAGAGUGAUGGGCCACGGAGACUGAUCUGCCUCCAUGAUUGGAGGCUUAUUCAUCUAUAAUCACAAGGGGGAGGUGCUCAUCUCCCCAGUCUACCGAGAUGACAUCCAGAGGAAUGCCAUGGACGCCUUUUGCAUCAAUGUUAUCCAUGCCCGGCAGCAGGUGCACAGCCCCAUCACCAACAUUGCUCACACCAGCUUCUUCCAUGUCAAGCGAUCCAACAUCUGGCUGGCAGCAGUCACCAAGCAGAACGUCAAUGCUGCCAUAGUCUUUGAAUUCCUCUAUAAGAUGUGUGACGUGAUGGCUGCCUACUUUAGCAAGAUCAGCCAGGAAAACAUCAAGAAAAAUUUUGUGCUCAUAUAUGAGCUGCUGGAUGAGAUUCUAGACUUUGGCUACCCACAGAAUUCCGAGACAGGCAUGCUGAAAACCUUCAUCACCCAGCACGGCAUCAAGAGUCAGUAUCAGACAAAAGAAGAGCAGUCACAGAUCACCAACCAGGUGACUGGGCAGAUCGGCUGGUGGCGAGAGGGUAUCAGGUAUCGCCAGAAUGAGCUCUUCCUGGAUGUGCUGGAGAGUGUGAAUCUGCUCAUGUCCCCAUAAGGGCAGGUGCUGAGUGCCCAUGUGUCGGGCCAGGUGGUGAUGAAGAGCAACCUGAGUGGGAUGCCCGAAUGUAAGUUUGGGAUGAAUGACAAGAUCGUCAUUGAAAAACAAGGCAAAGACACAGCUGAUGAAACAAGCAAGAGCAGGAAGCAAUCAAUUGCCAUUGAUGACUGCACCUUCCACCAGUGUGUGUGACUCAGCAAGUUUGACUCUGAACGCAGCAUCAGCUUUAUCCUGCCAGAUGCAGUGUUUGAGCUUAUGAGGUAUCACACAACCAAUGAUAUCAUCUUUCCCUUCCGGGUCAUCACUCUAGUGUGAGAAGUGGGAUGCACCAAACUGGAGAUCAAGGUGGUCAUCAAGUUCAACUGUAAACCCUCACUGCUGGCUCAGAAGACUGAGGUGAGGAUCCCAAUCCCCCUGAACACAAGUGGGGUGUAGGUGAUCUGCAUGAAGGAGAAGGCCAAGUACAAGGCCAGCAAGAACGCCAUUGUAUAGAAGAUCAAACGCAUGGCAGGUAUGAAGGAAUCACAGAUCAGCACAGAGAUUGAGCUUCUGCCUACCAACGUCAAGAAGAAAUGGGCUCGACCCCUCAUUUCCAUGAACUCUGAGGUGACAUUUGCAUCCUCUGGCCUCAAGGUGCACUACUUGAAGGUGUUUUAACUGAAGCUGAACUACAGUGACCAUGAUGUCAUCAAAUGGGUGCGCUACAUUGGCUGCAGUGGCAUUUAUGAAACUCGCUGCUAGCUGCCACUAGGCAGCUGGCCCACCUCCCCACCCACGCUCUUCCACAGGUCCAGGUGCCACUCCCUCCUCGCCA